rnacentral:rRNA from 1 species
AUUGAACGCUGGCGGCAUGCCUUACACAUGCAAGUCGAACGGCAGCACGGGUGCUUGCACCUAGUGGCGAGUGGCGAACGGGUGAGUAAUAUAUCGGAACGUACCCUAUUUGGGGGGCUAACUCAGCGAAAGCUGUGCUAAAACCGCAUAAUCCCCAAGGGGGAAAGCGGGGGACCGUAAGGACUCUCUCAAUGAGAGCGCACGAUACCUGAUUAGCUAGUUGGUGAGGUAAAGGCUCACCAAGGCAACGAUCAGUAGCUGGUCUGAGAGGACGAGCAGCCACACUGGGACUGAGACACGGCCCAGACUCCUACGGGAGGCAGCAGUGGGGAAUUUUGGACAAUGGGGGCAACCCUGAUCCAGCAAUGCCGCGUGAGUGAAGAAGGCCUUCGGGUUGUAAAGCUCUUUUGUCAGGGAAGAAACAGCAGCUCUAACACAGUUUGCGAAUGACGGUACCUGAAGAAUAAGCACCGGCUAACUACGUGCCAGCAGCCGCCGUAA